rnacentral:lncRNA from 1 species
CCUUAAGACCCAGUAGGUAGAGUAUUACCACUCGCAGGUACUAGUAGUAUAGUACCGGUGUCCCUAUUAACCAAAAUUAUUUAGGUGCGUUCAGUGCUACCUCCCGAUCAACCGAGGGCAUCCAAAGUACACACAGACAUGUGAUAUCAUAAAGCUCUCUUCCCUUUGCCUUUGCCAGAAAAGAAUGGCCCAGAUUCGGCAGCGUCAGCGCGAACUCACGGAGAAGAAACCAUUUGAAUUCCGGGGUGCACUGAACCAUGCACACACUAAAACAAGAACACGACAUGAUAGACUAAUCGCCAGGGAUUAAUUAGGCCGUGAUACCUCUGCUGUUAGGUCACACCGGUUUAGUUUAGGUCUUUUAGGACGCCCGAUAUAUAUCUACUGGUAGAAGGUUGGUUUCCCAACUAGAGCAGGGGAGCUCUUAAAUGUUGUGAAAGUGGCCGCCUUGAGUGGAUGCAGUGGUGAGCAUGAAUCAUGAUGCAUGGGGGCCGCCGUGUAACGGCACAGGACACCCAUGAGAUCAUUCUUAUUUAAACGGACGACUGAUGGGCCUCGUAAUAGUUGUAACUUUGAUGCAUCAUGAUGCAAAUUUGUUUAGUUCCUCUGACUGCCAAGCCGGCUUUUUCCUUGAUGGCAAACAAACAUGAAAGAACGCCAAAUCAAAAGGGCCUUUUGCCAUGACAGUGAACACUCGCCGCACGGAUCCGGUGCCAAGGGUGCC